rnacentral:lncRNA from 1 species
GUUGAACACGACUGUUAUCCUACUACCUACACCACAUUUGUAAAUUUGUUUAAACUGUUGUUGGUUACCUGUUUUGCACUGUUUUCGAAAAGAAACGACAAUAAAUUUUGUAAAAAGAUAUAUCUAAAAAAGUGAGAAGGUUUUUGUAGAUGUAGCUAACAAUAUAGCACAGGAGAGGAAGACACAAGACAAAGGUACCAAAGGGACAUUCAAAAUCAUGACACGAAGGUCAACUGACAUAACCAUAGCUAAAAAAGGAAAAGAAAAGCAACAGUACACAAAACACAACAUAGAAACCCAAAGAUAGAGCAAUCCCACUAAGCACAAGAAAAUAAAAAAAAGAAACGACAAGACAUGUAGUUAAAGCUAGAAAGAAAGCGAUGGAUAGGAUUAUGUAGAUUUCAAUAUACCAAACAUAAAUAAACAGACAUUAAUAAAUUUGGAAGAGGA